rnacentral:rRNA from 1 species
UCAGCCGCCGCGGUAAAACCAGCACCUCGAGUGGUCAGGAGGUUUAUUGGGCCUAAAGCAUCCGUAGCCGGUUGUUUAAGUUUUCGGUUAAAUCUAUGCGCUUAACGUAUAGGCUGCCGAAAAUACUGGACAGCUAGGGAGUGGGAGAGGUAAACGGUACUCAAUAGGAAGGGGUAAAAUCCUUUGAUCUGUUGAUGACCACCUGUGGCGAAGGCGGUGUACCAGAACACGUUCGACGGUGAGGGAUGAAAGCUGGGGGAGCAAACCGGAUUAGAUACCCGGGUAGUCCCAGCUGUAAACGAUGCAAACUCGGUGAUGCAUUGGCUUGUGGCCAAUGCAGUGCCGCAGGGAAGCCGUUAAGUCUGCCGCCUGGGAAGUACGUACGCAAGUAUGAAACUUAAAGGAAUUGGCGGGGGAGCACA